GCCGGGCAUGGUGGCGCGUGCCUGUAAUCCCAGCUCUCGGGAGGCUGAGGCAGGAGAAUUGCUGGAACCCAGGAGGCGGAGAUUGCAGUGAGCUGAGAUCGCGCCACUGCACUCCAGCCUGGGCCACAAAGCAAGACACUGCCUCAA
ensembl:misc_RNA Metazoa_SRP Metazoan signal recognition particle RNA